AGCGAACGCUGGCGGCAGGCCUAAUACAUGCAAGUCGAGCGCCCCUUCGGGGGAGCGGCGGACGGGUGAGUAACGCGUGGGAACGUGCCCUUUGGUCGAACAACACAGGGAAACUUGUGCUAAUACCGAAUGUGCCCUUGGGGAAAGAUUUAUCGCCAUUGGAGCGGCCCGCGUUGGAUUAGGUAGUUGGUGGGGUAAAGGCCUACCAAGCCUACGAUCCAUAGCUGGUCUGAGAGGAUGAUCAGCCACACUGGGACUGAGACACGGCCCAGACUCCUACGGGAGGCAGCAGUAGGAAUCUUGCGCAAGUGGGCGAAAGCCUGACGCAGCCAUGCCGCGUGAAUGAUGAAGUCUUA
rnacentral:rRNA from 1 species